rnacentral:rRNA from 1 species
GAUGAACGCUAGCGAUAGGCUUAACACAUGCAAGUCGAGGGGCAGCAUGGUCUUAGCUUGCUAAGACUGAUGGCGACCGGCGCACGGGUGCGUAACGCGUAUGCAACUUGCCUCACAGAGGGGGAUAACCCGUCGAAAGACGGACUAAUACCGCGUACACCCCAUCUUGGGCAUCCAAGGUAGAGGAAAUGAAAUUCGCUGUGAGAUAGGCAUGCGUCCCAUUAGCUAGUUGGUGAGGUAACGGCUCACCAAGGCGACGAUGGGUAGGGGAACUGAGAGGUUGGACCCCCACACUGGUACUGAGACACGGACCAGGCUACUACGGGAGGCAGCAGUGAGGAAUAUUGGUCAAUGGGCGAGAGCCUGAACCAGCCAAGUCGCGUGAAGGAUGACUGUCUUAUGGAUUGUAAACUUCUUUUAUACGGGAAUAACAAGAGUCACGUGUGACUCCCUGCAUGUACCGUAUGAAUAAGCAUCGGCUAACUCCGUG